CAAGACAUGUUAUAUCAGAAAAUAUUAUGACAUAAAUUUCUGUUUUUAAUUUUUCAUAAAACCGUCAAUUCACUACGUCAUAAUUAAGUAGUUAAAAUUUAUCGAGCAUGAUCGUUCUAAAAGCUCAUUAAUAUUUUCAUGGUCUUUUAAUUGCCAUUAGUGAGAGAGGGAACCGCAGCUACUAAAAUUCUUUUGUGUGCCGUCUUUCCUCCAUGAGGCAAAGUAUGCAAAGAGCAAACUGCUGUUGCAUCUAGAUGAGCAACAUUAUUCUUGCAGAUUCAUCGCCGAUAACUUCUUUUCCAUUUCUUCCGCCGCGCCUUGACGUGAAAUAAGAAGGAAGUAAUAGUCCAAAGGUACACAGGCACUUGGCAGGAAACCAAAUCCUCGACCUGAAGAACGCCAGGAAGCGUGCACACGUGCACGCGAUAGCGACGGUAUACUUUUCGGGAAGAGAUCGCAAUAGACAAAAUCAACAAAAGUUUGAGAAAGCCGCCAGCAUGUUUUUAACAAUUUCAUCAUAAUUCAUAGCAAAAAAAAGAUAGAAAAGCCACUUUCUUUUUUUUCUGCACGGACAUCUUUACUUCACUUUAACAACUACGUUACACGCGUUGUAACAACUAAAAAAGAACAACCGCAACUAUCGAUUGAACAUUAAUCAUUGAUAAGAUUUCUUAAACGUCGCUGUGUGUGUAUAUUGGUAAUAAAUGUCGUUC